GGAGGAAUGCCUUGUGUGUAUCAAACUACACAACGUAACUGGGUGACUAUAAAGAUGCUCUACAGGUAUCUCCGAAGGUGUUAGUUGAGUUAGUAUGGAUCAAGACUGGGAUUUGUCACUUCGUGUGAUGGAGAGGUAUCUCGGGGCCCACUCGGUAAUACAACAUCACACACAAGCCUUGCAAGCAAUGUAACUUAGUGUAAGUUGCGGGAUCUUGUAUUACGGAACGAGUAAAGAGACUUGCCGGUAAACGGGAUUGAAA
rnacentral:lncRNA from 1 species